UACGAAGGGGGCGAGCGUUGUUCGGAAUCACUGGGCGUAAAGGGCGCGUAGGCGGCCCUCUUAGUCGCGUGUGAAAGCCCCGGGCUCAACCUGGGAACGGCGCGCGAAACGGGAGGGCUGGAGUUCGGGAGAGGAGAGUGGAAUUCCCAGUGUAGAGGUGAAAUUCGUAGAUAUUGGGAAGAACACCGGUGGCGAAGGCGGCUCACUGGCCCGGUACUGACGCUGAGGUGCGAAAGCGUGGGGAGCAAACAGGG
rnacentral:rRNA from 1 species